rnacentral:rRNA from 1 species
GUAGGUGGCAAGCGUUGUCCGGAAUUAUUGGGCGUAAAGCGCGCGCAGGCGGUUCUUUAAGUCUGAUGUGAAAGCCCACGGCUCAACCGUGGAGGGUCAUUGGAAACUGGAGAACUUGAGUACAGAAGAGGAAAGCGGAAUUCCACGUGUAUCGGUGAAAUGCGUAGAGAUGUGGAGGAACACCAGUGGCGAAGGCGGCUUUCUGGUCUGUAACUGACGCUGAGGCGCGAAAGCGUGGGGAGCAAACAGGGAUUAGAUACCCUGGUAGUCCACGCCGUAAACGAUGAGUGCUAAGUGUUAGGGGGUUUCCGCCCCCUUAGUGCUGCAGCUAACGCAUUAAGCACUCCGCCUGGGGAGUACGGCCGCAAGGCUG